GGAGCGGUAGUUCAGUUGGUUAGAAUACCGGCCUGUCACGCCGGGGGUCGCGGGUUCGAGUCCCGUCCGUUCCGCCA
rnacentral:tRNA from 7 species